rnacentral:snRNA from 1 species
GGAUAUGAGGGUGAUCUUGCUGCGACAUCUGUCACCCCACUGAUCGCCAGGGUUGAUUCGGCUGAUCUGGCUGGCUAGGUGGGUGUCCCCUUCCUCCCUCACCGCUCCAUGUGCGUCCUUCCCGAAGCUGCACGCUCGGUCAAAGAGGACGACCAUCCCUGAUAGAGGAGGAUCAUUCUUCUCGGUCAAGGGUAUAUGGGUAGUUGCGCUCCCCUGCUAGAACCUCCAAACAAGUUCUCAAGGUCCAAAAAACCCACCCAAUUAAAAAAUGAGCAAAGGACUUGAAGAGAUAUUUCUCCACAGAAGAUACACACAUGAGCAACAU